rnacentral:lncRNA from 1 species
CGGGCGGGAGGCUCGGGCGGGCGGCCCCGCGCGGGACGCGGGUGCGGGCGCCCGGGAGGUGCCGACAGCCGCCUCGGACCCGGUAACCUAACAAGAUUAAAAUUAAAUUGGUUGAUGAUGGUUCUGAACAAAUACAGCCCUUUUAUUUGAGGUAUGCCAUUUUGAAGACUGAGAUCCAUGGAGUUUUAUCCUUGAGUAUAUAAAAGGAAAUAUUUGCUAAAAUCUUUAUUUUAUAUAGCAAGUAAGUAAAUGUUUUAUUCAACAUCUGAAAUUUAAUAGCUACCAACAUUUGAGAAGGAAAAUAUCACUGA